AUUGAACGCUGGCGGCAGGCCUAACACAUGCAAGUCGAGCGGAGGGGCGGAGGGGUGAGUAAUGCCAAGGAAUCGGCCAGGUAGUGGGGGAGAACGUCAGGAAAAGGGAGCUAAUACCGAAUACUAUCAGAAGAGGCUAGGUCGGAUUAGCUAGUUGGUGGGGUAAAGGCCUACCAGGGCGACGAUCCGUCACUGGUCUGAGAGGAUGAUCAGUAACACUGGAACUGAGACACGUUCCAGACUCCUACGGGAGGCAGCAGUGGGGAAUAUUGGACAAUGGGCGAAAGCCUGAUCCAGCCAUGCCGCGUGUGUGAAGAAGGUCUUCGGAUUGUAAAGCACUUUAAGUUGGGAGGCGUUACCAACAGAAUAAGCACCGGCUAACUUCGUGCCAGCAGCCGCGGUAAUAC
rnacentral:rRNA from 1 species